AGCGAACGCUGGCGGCAGGCCUAACACAUGCAAGUCGAACGAACUCUUCGGAGUUAGUGGCGGACGGGGGGGUAACACGUGGGAACGUGCCUUUUGGUUCGGAAUAACACAGGGAAACUUGUGCUAAUACCGAAUGUGCCCUUCGGGGGAAAGAUUUAUCGCCAUUAGAGCGGCCCGCGUCUGCUUAGCUAGUUGGUGAGGUAACGGCGGACCAAGGCGACGAUCAGUAGCUGGGCUGAGAGGAUGACCAGCCACACUGGGACUGAGACACGGCCCAGACUCCUGCGGGAGGCAGCAGUGGGGAAUCUUGCGCAAUGGGCGAAAGCCUGACGCAGCCAUGCCGCGUGAAUGAUGAAGGUCUUAGGAUUGUAAAAUUCUUUCACCGGGGACGAUAAUGACGGUACCCGGAGAAGAAGCCCCGGCUAACUUCGUG
rnacentral:rRNA from 1 species